rnacentral:rRNA from 1 species
UAGGGAAUCUUCCACAAUGGACGCAAGUCUGAUGGAGCAACGCCGCGUGAGUGAAGAAGGUUUUCGGAUCGUAAAGCUCUGUUGUUGGUGAAGAAGGAUAGAGGCAGUAACUGGUCUUUAUUUGACGGUAAUCAACCAGAAAGUCACGGCUAACUACGUGCCAGCAGCCGCGGUAAUACGUAGGUGGCAAGCGUUGUCCGGAUUUAUUGGGCGUAAAGCGAGCGCAGGCGGAAUGAUAAGUCUGAUGUGAAAGCCCACGGCUCAACCGUGGAACUGCAUCGGAAACUGUCAGUCUUGAGUGCAGAAGAGGAGGGUGGAAUUCCAUGUGUAGCGGUGGAAUGCGUAGAUAUAUGGAAGAACACCAGUGGCGAUGGCGGCUCUCUGGUCUGCAACUGACGCUGAGGCUCGAAAGCAUGGGUAGCGAACAGG